GGUCCUAUAGCUCAGUUGGUCAGAGCGUCGUACUAAUACUCAUGAUUAUUCAUAGUAUCGGUAAUGCGAAGGCCGUGAGUUCAAGCCUCACUGGGACCA